AUGAAAAUAUUCAGGAGGAAGAGAAGGAAGAAAGAGAAGGCAAAACAAAAGAAGGAAGAAAAGGCAAAUCUCACAGAACAGGAGGCUGGUGAAGAAUAUUUGGCUUUAAAGGAAAUGACUGGGCCUACUGCUAGGCAAGAAGAAGAAAUGAUAUUAGCAAAACAACAUGACCAGGAGCAGCUCUGUAAUAUCAGUCGAACAUUGGCUGUGCUGGCAUCUGCAUCGUCUGUUAGCAAGGAGCGUCAAGAGUUCCUGAGCCUUGUCAACAAGGAGAUAAAACUAUGUAACUCCAUGCUUGGAAGAGAAGACACAGAGGGGGCAGAAGAAGCUAAGAAGGCAUAUAUGGCUGCUAGAGAGGAGUCAGACGACAUCACCGAGGUUGCUUCAGAGGAAAAAGUCUUGUCAGCGCUGAUUGACAAGGUUGAUGCUACGCUUCUUGAAUUGGAAAAAGAGAUUGAUGAUGUGGAUCCACAAAUCAGAAACCGCUGGCAACUGCUUGAUAGGCUGCCAACGAAUUGGAAAGGCCAAGAUGGAGGAGCAAUCAUCAAGCCACCCUCUCAUCAGGUGGUGGAAUGCCUGCCUGGUGGCUUCCCAUUCAUUCCCAUGAGUCAUCAUGUUCAACUUGUUAAUGAGUUGAUCCUGCAAGCCAAUGAAGAUUCAGACGAUGAAGUUGCUCUGGAGGCUUGUGACUCUGGUUUGCGUUCUGUUAACAUGCAAAAUGUGGCUCAGGCAGGUGAUGUCCGGAAGGAGCAGGAAGCUGCUGUAUUGGUGCUGCUAUAG
rnacentral:rRNA from 1 species